rnacentral:misc_RNA from 1 species
CCCCCACUAUAUAUGGGCUUUGGCCUAGUACAGUUUUUCCACGUCUCCUCAUUAGACAAAGCCACCUCAAUAUUAUAACCAAACACAUGAUCAUAAAUUCUCCUUCCAUAUUGCUCAAUAUCUUCAUUGUUUCUUCGUUCAAAUACAUCUUCAGCAUGUUCUGAUGAGUUAGAAGCAUCACUAGACCGUACAUUUAAAUCAUUUUCCUG